rnacentral:rRNA from 1 species
UACGGUAGGGUGCAAGCGUUGUCCGGAAUUAUUGGGCGUAAAGAGCUCGUAGGCGGUCUGUUACGUCGGCUGUGAAAACCUGGGGCUCAACCCGGGCCUGCAGCCGAUACGGGCAGACUAGAAUUCGGUAGGGGAGACUGGAAUUCCUGGUGUAGCGGUGAAAUGCGCAGAUAUCAGGAGGAACACCGGUGGCGAAGGCGGGUCUCUGGGCCGAUAUUGACGCUGAGGAGCGAAAAGCGUGGGGGAGCGAACAGG